rnacentral:ncRNA from 1 species
AAGUAGAGGCGCGAUUUAUCAAGAGUAACAAUUCAGAGUAUGUUGAUUUGCUAAGAAGAAUUGCAAAAGGGGUAAAUUGCCGAAAGAAAAUCUGAUUCAACUAUAAUUUUCUUGGGCGAAGUUAGAACAUAACUUCGACUGUCAUCGUUGAGCUAACGAUGGAGAACUAUUAAG